CUUACCAGGGAACUAUGAGCCCCAGCUUAAAACCCAAAGGACUUGGCGGUGCCUAAGACCCCCCUAGAGGAGCCUGUUCUAUAAUCGAUACCCCACGUUAAACCUCACCCUUAAUCGCUUAUUCCGUCUAUAUACCGCCGUCGUCAGCUCACCCUAUGAAGGAACAACAGUCAGCAUAGUUGGUAAAACCCAAAACGUCAGGUCAAGGUGUAGCAUAUGUAAGGGGAAGAAAUGGGCUACAUUUACUGAAACAGUAAAUACGGAUACUACUUUGAAAUAAGUAGCUUGAAGGAGGAUUUAGUAGUAAAAAAAAAAUAGAGUGUUUUUCUGAAACUGGCCCUUAAGCGCGCACACACCGCCCGUCACUCUCCCCAACAACCAGCACAAGCUAUAUAAAACUUUUUAUAAAAAAGAGGAGGCAAGUCGUAACAUGGUAAGUGUACUGGAAAGUGUACUUGGAACAU
rnacentral:rRNA from 1 species